rnacentral:rRNA from 1 species
GACGAACGCUGGCGGCGUGCCUAAUACAUGCAAGUCGACCUUAGUGGCGAACGGGUGAGUAACACGUGGGUAACCUGCCCAUCAGAAGGGGAUAACACUUGGAAACAGGUGCUAAUACCGUAUACUGAUGGAUGGACCCGCGGUGCAUUAGCUAGUUGGUGAGGUAACGGCCAACCAAGGCCACGAUGCAUAGCCGCCCGGGGGGGGUGAUCGGCCACAUGGGGACGGAGACACGGCCCAAACCCCUACGGGAGGCAGGAGGAGGGAAUCUUCGGCAAGGGACGAAAGUCGGACCGAGCAACGCCGGGUGAGUGAAGAAGGUUUUCGGAUCGUAAAACUCUGUUGUUAGAGAAGCGGUAUCUAACCAGAAAGCCAGGGCUAACUACGUGCCAGCAGCCGCGGUAAUA